CUCAGAGUCUGCAUGGCAGUCACCAUUGUCUUGACUUGGGAAAGAAUCUGACCCCCGCAGGUAAGGGGAAGAGCCAGGGUCUACGCUCAUCUUCCGAAGGUGUUUUUCACCUCUCCAAGUCCCGGUCACUUCAUCUCUUAGAUGGGAGUUAAUUUAGUCAACAAAUAUUGAUUGCCAUGUUCCUAUGUGUUGGACACUGGGGUUUAGUGGUGAGCUAGAUGGACAUGGUCCCUGUUCUCACAAUGCUCUCUUUUAAAUAAGAGAGGUGAACAAGAAGUGAAUAAAUGAAUCUACGCACAGUGCGAUGGCUGUCAGGCAGAGAAAGGUGCUAUAAAGAAAUCCUUCAAUCAGGGGCUGCUGCUGAGCUUAUGAUGAUUUUUCUUCUAAAGGUCAGCAACUCAUUGGGGCUGAUGGCGUCCCUGCCCUGGGCAGACAGGCAGGACUUGCUCAUGAGUCUCUGUAUCACUCAGCUCCAGGAGACUCAGAAUCUCACCAGGACACGUCCAUCACUCUCUCAUAGCUGGUACUUGGAAAUGAAAGAGACUCGCAGUGCAGUCCCAAUCAAUGUCCGUCGGCCGUCUCUGUCGAUAACUGCCGGGCUGUCCAAUCUUUCCCCUGAUAGAAAGGCGCCUGGGGGUCAGCCUGAAGAAGCUCUGGAGGGAAGAGGCGGCUGUUUGAUUCAGAGCCUCCUCGCUGGGCUGGAAUUAACCUGGCUCUUUCUCUAAUGAAACUGACUCCAAGGGUCCCUGUGUGCUAGAGAUUCAAUGGCCCUUAGGAGAAGCAAUGAUGAGAGGUAAUAUUAAAGCAGUGUACACAUGCAGCCUCGAAUUCCUAACCACGCUGAUGAUGUUUUCAAGGUGCUUUGAGCCCUGUAGGAAGCAGCACCUGUCUGGCAUGAUGCUGAAUGCACAGUAGAAACAGUGAAUGCAGGGAGAGUAGACCCUGGGCUGCCUUUCCUAUCUACUGAUGAAGAGAUCAGGCCUUAAGAAGCUUAGUGACUUAACCACGAUGU
rnacentral:lncRNA from 1 species